UACGUAGGUGGCAAGCGUUAUCCGGAUUUAUUGGGCGUAAAGGGAACGCAGGCGGUCUUUUAAGUCUGAUGUGAAAGCCUUAGGCUUAACCGGAGUAGUGCAUUGGAAACUGGGAGACUUGAGUGCAGAAGAGGAGAGUGGAACUCCAUGUGUAGCGGUGAAAUGCGUAGAUAUAUGGAAGAACACCAGUGGCGAAAGCGGCUCUCUGGUCUGUAACUGACGCUGAGGUUCGAAAGCGUGGGUAGCAAAUAGG
rnacentral:rRNA from 1 species